rnacentral:rRNA from 1 species
UACGUAGGUGGCGAGCGUUAUCCGGAAUGAUUGGGCGUAAAGGGUGCGUAGGCGGGACCUUAAGUCAGCGGUAAAAUUGCGGUGCUCAACGCCGUAGAGCCGUUGAAACUGGGGUUCUUGAGUGAGCGAGAAGUAUGCGGAAUGCGUGGUGUAGCGGUGAAAUGCAUAGAUAUCACGCAGAACCCCGAUUGCGAAGGCAGCAUACCGGCGCUCAACUGACGCUGAGGCACGAAAGUGCGGGUAUCGAACAGG